CCUACGGGAGGCAGCAGUGAGGAAUAUUGGUCAAUGGACGCAAGUCUGAACCAGCCAUGCCGCGUGCAGGAAGACGGCUCUAUGAGUUGUAAACUGCUUUUGUACGAGGGUAAAUCCCGAUACGUGUAUCGGGUUGAAAGUAUCGUACGAAUAAGGAUCGGCUAACUCCGUGCCAGCAGCCGCGGUAAUACGGAGGAUUCAAGCGUUAUCCGGAUGUAUUGGGUUUAAAGGGUGCGUAGGCGGUUCGAUAAGUUAGAGGGGAAAUCCCGGGGCUCAACUCCGGCACUGCCUCUGAUACGGACGGGCUAGAGUGUAGUAGCGGGAGGUGGAAUGUAAGGGGUAGCGGUGAAAUGCAGAGAGAGGA
rnacentral:rRNA from 1 species